rnacentral:rRNA from 1 species
UACGUAGGGCGCAAGCGUUAUCCGGAAUUAUUGGGCGUAAAGAGCUCGUAGGCGGUUUGUCGCGUCUGCCGUGAAAGUCCGGGGCUCAACUCCGGAUCUGCGGUGGGUACGGGCAGACUAGAGUGAUGUAGGGGAGACUGGAAUUCCUGGAUGUAGCGGUGAAAUGCGCAGAUAUCAGGAGGAACACCGAUGGCGAAGGCAGGUCUCUGGGCAUUAACUGACGCUGAGGAGCGAAAGCAUGGGGAGCGAACAGG